rnacentral:rRNA from 1 species
GACGGAGGAUGCAAGCGUUAUCCGGAAUUACUGGGCGUAAAGCGUAUGUAGGCGGUUGAAUAAGUCAACUGUUAAAUGUCACAGCUCAACCUCGGGAUCGCAGUGGAAACUAUCAGACUAGAGUAUAGUAGGGGCUGAGGGAAUUUCCAGUGGAGCGGUGAAAUGCGUAGAGAUUGGAAAGAACACCGGAGGCGAAAGCGCUCUACUGGGCUAUUACUAACACUGAGGUACGAAAGCUAGGGUAGCGAAUGGG